GUUCUAAAGACGUAGGCUUAAAGCUGAAGUCAAUAGUCAUCCACUUACACUAAACAAUAAUGUAACAAAUGUAGUCUUAUUAUAACAUAAUAAAACUUUCAACAACGGAUCUCUUGGCUCUCGCAUCGAUGAAGAACGCAGCGAAAUGCGAUAAGUAAUGUGAAUUGCAGAAUUCAGUGAAUCAUCGAAUCUUUGAACGCACCUUGCGCUCCUUGGUAUUCCGAGGAGCAUGCCUGUUUGAGUGUCAUGAAAACCCUCAACCUUAGAUUGGUUAUUUGACCUUUCUUUGGCUUGGAUUUGGACGUUUGCCGAUGUCAAGUCGGCUCGUCUUAAAAGUAAUAGCUGGAUCUGUCUCGCGACAUGGUUUGACUUGGCGUAAUAAGUAUUUCGCUAAGGACAUCUUCGGAUGGCCCUGUUGCAGGACUAAAGACCGCUUUCUAAUCCAUUGAUCUUCGGAUUAAUAUUCAUAACAUCUGGCCUCAAAUCA
rnacentral:rRNA from 1 species